rnacentral:rRNA from 1 species
AUUGAACGCUGGCGGCAUGCCUUACACAUGCAAGUCGAACGCGAAAGGGGGCAACCCUGAGUAGAGUGGCGAACGGGUGAGUAAUGUAUCGGAACGUACCCAGUAGUGGGGGAUAGCCCGGCGAAAGCCGGAUUAAUACCGCAUACGACCUACGGGUGAAAGCGGGGGAUCGCAAGACCUCGCGCUAUUGGAGCGGCCGAUAUCGGAUUAGCUAGUUGGUGGGGUAAAAGCCUACCAAGGCUACGAUCCGUAGCAGGUUUGAGAGAACGACCUGCCACACUGGGACUGAGACACGGCCCAGACUCCUACGGGAGGCAGCAGUGGGGAAUUUUGGACAAUGGGCGAAAGCCUGAUCCAGCCAUGCCGCGUGAGUGAAGAAGGCCUCGGUUGUAAAGCUCUUUCGGUCCGGAACGAAAUACGCAUUCGUGAAUAUCGAGUGUGGAUGACGGUACCGG